CAUAUCAACUUUCGAUGCCAUUGACUGCGCCUACCAUGGUGACCAUGGGUAACGGUGAAUCAGGGUUCGAUUCCG